rnacentral:lncRNA from 1 species
CGACGUGCAGAAGUCCAGCCUUGUAUGGUGCAGAGCGCGAGGUCGAACAUGCAGAAGAUGAGUGUGAAUUCGUGUGGCGCAACACUACAUUGUGCGGUGUCUUAGAUAGGCUCGAGGCUCAAGCUCACUGUUGGCGGCGACAUCCGUACGAUCCUGCAAGUGGAAGGGCCUGUGUGGCAGUUGAUUCAUGGAUUUUACGUUGUAGACACACGCGAAGAAUUGAAAUGCAUGUAUACACUAAGUCAUGUAUACAAUCAAAUUUUGACAAACUUGGCACAUUUUUUGUUGGUUGGAGAGAGCACGUAGCAUUAGACAAAAAAACGGUGAGCUAAUCAAUCAAUCACCUCUAGAUCGCCACUCUAACCAUUCCUCGUUUCUUGCUUGUACUUACAAAAGGAACAAAAUUGCAUGGCUUUUGGCCACCACUUCGACUCAAUCAUUAAAUCCCAAUGUUUUUGAGUCACUUCAACAAUUUCAUUUUCCAAAUACAAUUUGGAUCCUAAUAAAUUAAGAUCGGACGGGAUUAACUAGAACACGGUGCUGAUUUGAAGGAUUGAGAAGUUAAGGUUCUGUUCAGACUUUGUCUAUAUGUAAUUUACUCAAUGAGAAACUUCGUUUUUCUUUUUUUUUUUAAAGAAGGCAUUGGCCAAAUUUGACUUUUUUCGGCAUGCCCAAAUCGUCCGGCUAUAGGU